rnacentral:rRNA from 2 species
CAUAUGCUUGUCUCAAAGAUUAAGCCAUGCAUGUCUCAGUACAAGCCGCAUUAAGGUGAAACCGCGAAAGGCUCAUUAAAUCAGUUAUGGUUCCUUAGAUCGUACCCACAUUUACUUGGAUAACUGUGGUAAUUCUAGAGCUAAUACAUGCAAACAGAGUUCCGACCGGAGACGGGAGGAAUGCUUUUAUUAGAUCAAAACCAAUCGGCGGCGGGCCUCCGGGUCCGUUCGCCGCUCGAUUUGGUGACUCUGAAUAACUUUCGGCUGAUCGCACGGUCUCGCACCGGCGACGCAUCUUUCAAAUGUCUGCCUUAUCAACUGUCGAUGGUAGGUUCUGCGCCUACCAUGGUCGUAACGGGUAACGGGGAAUCAGGGUUCGAUUCCGGAGAGGGAGCCUGAGAAACGGCUACCACAUCCAAGGAAGGCAGCAGGCGCGCAAAUUACCCACUCCCGGCACGGGGAGGUAGUGACGAAAAAUAACGAUACGGGACUCAUCCGAGGCCCCGUAAUCGGAAUGAGUACACUUUAAAUCCUUUAACGAGGAUCAAUUGGAGGGCAAGUCUGGUGCCAGCAGCCGCGGUAAUUCCAGCUCCAAU